GAGGGAUACCAAACUGAGAGCUGC
rnacentral:siRNA from 1 species